CWGUSGCMUGAMMGGUCAGACUCUACGGGAGGCAGCAGUAGGGAAUCUUCCGCAAUGGACGAAAGUCUGACSGAGCAMCSCCGCGUGAGUGAUGAAGGUUUUCGGAUCGUAAAGCUCUGUUGUUAGGGAAGAACAAGUACCGUUCGAAUAGGGCGGUACCUUGACGGUACCUAACCAGAAAGCCACGGCUAACUACGUGCCAGCAGCCGCGGUAAUACGUAGGUGGCAAGCGUUGUCCGGAAUUAUUGGGCGUAAAGGGCUCGCAGGCGGUUUCUUAAGUCUGAUGUGAAAGCCCCCGGCUCAACCGGGGAGGGUCAUUGGAAACUGGGGAACUUGAGUGCAGAAGAGGAGAGUGGAAUUCCACGUGUAGCGGUGAAAUGCGUAGAGAUGUGGAGGAACACCAGUGGCGAAGGCGACUCUCUGGUCUGUAACUGACGCUGAGGAGCGAAAGCGUGGGGAGCGAACAGGAUUAGAUACCCUGGUAGUCCACGCCGUAAACGAUGAGUGCUAAGUGUUAGGGGGUUUCCGCCCCUUAGUGCUGCAGCUAACGCAUUAAGCACUCCGCCUGGGGAGUACGGUCGCAAGACUGAAACUCAAAGGAAUUGACGGGGGCCCGCACAAGCGGUGGAGCAUGUGGUUUAAUUCGAAGCAACGCGAAGAACCUUACCAGGUCUUGACAUCCUCUGACAAUCCUAGAGAUAGGACGUCCCCUUCGGGGGCAGAGUGACAGGUGGUGCAUGGUUGUCGUCAGCUCGUGUCGUGAGAUGUUGGGUUAAGUCCCGCAACGAGCGCAACCCUUGAUCUUAGUUGCCAGCAUUCAGUUGGGCACUCUAAGGUGACUGCCGGUGACAAACCGGAGGRAGGGUGGGGGAUGACGUCAAAUCAUCAUGCCCCUUAUGACCUGGGGCUACACACGUGCUACAAUGGACAGAAACAAAAGGGSCAGCGAAACCGCGARGUUAAGCCAAAUCCCCACAAAAUCUGUUCUCAGUUCGGGAAUCGCAGUCUGCAACUUCGACUGGCGUGAAGCUGGAAGUCGACUUMGCUAAGUYCGCCAGRAUUSMAARAWCCAGGAAUGU
rnacentral:rRNA from 1 species